CCCCGACCAGAAGCAUAAAGACACAGACCAUCUAAUACUUUUCAAGGAAGAUUACCUUGCAAAAGAAAAAAGAAAAAGAAAGUAAGUAAAAUAAAAUAGAAGCAG